UGGGGAAUAUUGGACAAUGGGCGCAAGCCUGAUCCAGCCAUGCCGCGUGAGUGAUGAAGGCCCUAGGGUUGUAAAGCUCUUUCACCGGUGAAGAUAAUGACGGUAACCGGAGAAGAAGCCCCGGCUAACUUCGUGCCAGCAGCCGCGGUAAUACGAAGGGGGCUAGCGUUGUUCGGAUUUACUGGGCGUAAAGCGCACGUAGGCGGACUUUUAAGUCAGGGGUGAAAUCCCGGGGCUCAACCCCGGAACUGCCUUUGAUACUGGAAGUCUUGAGUAUGGUAGAGGUGAGUGGAAUUCCGGGUGUAGAGGUGAAAUUCGUAGAUAUUCGGGGGAACACCAGUGGCGAAGGCGGCUCACUGGACCAUUACUGACGCUGGGGUGCGAAAGCGUGGGGAGCAAACAGG
rnacentral:rRNA from 1 species